rnacentral:lncRNA from 1 species
GUCGGGGCUGCAGUUGGACCCGGCGCUGGGGGGGCCCGGGUGGUUGUUUCCCCGCGGGGGGGGGCAGCAGGAGCUGGAGGUGACGGAGCUGCGGGGGCACAGACGGAAACGGGUCGGAAGCAGCGAGUUCUGGGAUGGAUUCGGAACCAGCGCGGCGCAGCCCGGCCCCUCGGAGCUGCUGAAGCUGGAGUGCAGCAUCGGGGACACGCAGCAGCGCCGGUACGUGAUGGUCCCACAUCGCAAUGGGGGGCUCAGGGCGAUGUGGGUCACACGGACCCAUAUUGGCCCCUCCGCCCCAUAACCUGCCCCAUAACCUGCCCCAUAACCUGCCCCAUAACCUGCCCCCCCCGGCCCCACAGGGUCGCGCUGCCGUUCCCGGAGUAUUGCGACCCCCACGGACAACUCAACCUCGUGUCCCACCUGCAGACAUGGCCGGGAUGGAUGCGGCCCCGCGUCUGUGCGGCGUAUGGUGAGUGAUACCCCAUAGACAGCCCCAUAGCCGCCCCAUAACCAGCCCCAUAACUAACCCAUAACCAACCCCAUAGCCAGCCCCAUAGCCAGCCCCAUAACCAACAUAACCACCCCAUAGCCACCCCAUAGCCACCCCAUAGCCAUCCCAUAACCACCCCAUAGCCACCCCAUAACCACCCCAUAACCACCCCAUAACCACCCCAUAACCAGCCCCAUAACCAGCCCCAUAACCAGCCCCAUAACCAACCCAUAGCCAGCCCCAUAACCAACCCCAUAACCAGCCCAUAACCAACCCCAUAACCAGCCCAUAACCAGCCCCAUAGCCAUCCCAUAACCAGCCCCAUAACCAGCCCCAUAACCAACCCCCCCACCCCAUAACCAACCCCAUAACCAAACCCAUCUACCCCAUAACCAACCCCUCCACCCCAUAACCAACCCCUCCUACUCCAUAACCAGCCCCAUAACCAACCCAUAACCAACCCAUAGCCAGCCCCAUAGCCAGCCCCAUAACCAACCCCCCUACCCUAUAACCAGCCCCAUACCCACCCCAUACCCACCCCCAUUUGCAGGUAUCCCCCC